UGAGAAUGAGAAUGAGAAUGAGAAUGAGAAUGAGAAUGAGAAUGAGAAUGAAUUAAGCCUCAAUUCCUAUGGGUAUUCAGGUGAUUUUCCAAAACUAUCUGAAUUCCUCUCUAGAUCCACAAACAAGAGAUUCAUUGUGUCGAUCUGUAAAUUGUAUGAUGUCAUUGAAACACAAGCCCCAGUUGGUAUCACAAACAGUUUAUGUUUCCAAGGAUACUAGGAACUUUAAAUAUCCUGCAUAAUCUAAAGCCCAGCCUUCCUAACAAUACCAGGGGCCUGCCCACUUUCUCUCUUUAGUCACUGUUUCCAGCAGAGAAAAGACACUGAUUUUGUUCCUAAUAAUUCUUUCAAAUAAUACACUUGGAAACAUUCCACAAUCAUUCAAUUAUUCAUUUUUAUAUUUUUGACAUAAAGACAACAACAAAAAAGGAUUAAGAAUUUACAUAGCCCUAAUAGAGGAGACACUCAAAAGGCCAGGCUGGAGUCCUUUAUGAAACUUCAUAAUAUACACUUUUUUAAAAAUGCAAGCACAUAAAUACUUAUAAUUAAUCCUUACAUUUAUGUUCUUCUGUGUAUGGAUGUGUUAUGGAGAAUUCUUUUAAUAACACAAAGAAAUGACUUUUUUCUCAUGUGCCUUUUCUGGAAAAGCUAUUUUUCUUUACUUACUAUUUGCCUUGAAAUCAUAUGAAUUCAGUAUGUAAAGUUGUUUAUUCUACCUGGAGUAACUACUACAACACAAAACAAAGGCAAUGUGUGAGGUAAUUAUGAUUAACUAUAUUAUUGUUAAAGGUCAAACAAGUUUAUAGGUCUUUAUAAUAGUUUCUGACAGAGAAUAGUAUAUAGGGUUAACUUGUUAUAAAAGGUCUAUAGCUAAACUCAUUUUCUGGUAUCUUCCCAGAGGAAGGUCUAACUAUUUAUAUUAUAUUCACAUCAAAUUUAUUUGUGGAAUAUAUUUUACAUUAGUAUCAUGUGCCACUGAUGUUUUGGACAGUUUCAGAGUUCAUAUUUUUCUAUUUAGGAGAUAAAUAUUUUAAGCAAGUAUUUCUUAAAAUGCAGACUGGAAACUGACAAGGAAAACAGAGAAUUCAGAGACCACAGAGAGUUCCACGGAGCUGCUCGAUGGUGAUGGCAGCAGCAGGGAGCUGAGCCUCUGCCUUCUCUCCUUACGGUACCUCAAGACUCAGUUACUUUGAUCACCUUAUUAUCUGGCAAGGAAACAGACAUACUAGCAUCCAAGAAAAUGCAACAACCUAGUCUUUCAAAAAUUUUAAUGGAACAUUAACAGAAGCACAUAAAGAAAGAAGAUUUUUCUCUUGAUUACCUAUUUACCAAGGACUCAGCAUCCUGGAGAAGCCAUUGGAAAGAGUAGAGAAAAUGCCACGGGUAAAAUAUCCCUGCUGCUCAGACUCCACUGACC